GGAUAUAGCUCAGUGGUAGAGCGUGUGUUUAGCAUGCACAAGGUCCUAGCUUCAAUUCCCAGUACCUCCA
rnacentral:tRNA from 1 species